AACGGUAUCAGGUGAUUGACAGCAGUGUCAUCCUAUCAGCACGUAGUACCUUGCAUUUAAGUCUGAUUGGCUGUUAUCUGGGAUGUGUCACGUCCGAUUUUCCCCGUUUGUUUUGCUAGCGUCGACGGUGGUUGUAGGUAAGCGAGCUGUGUUUAAUGGGUGAUUCUUUCUGGAGUUUUCCUAUGCAUAACUUUUUAAAUCAUUAUCAACUAGUGCAGCUUUGGUGCGGUGCCCUCCGUGCUGCUUAGUGGGUCUGAUGACUGUUCACCUCACAGGUAAUGUUUAUUGUUAAGAGCUCGUGAUAUGGUGCUGAAAUGGCUGUGUGGGUUUAACAUUCUUUCGGAUAUCAAAUAGGCGUGAUUCCCUGUAUUCCCUUGUAAAACCGAUGGGCAUGACUGACCAAUCGGUGUUUUAAGCGUGCUAUCUAGCGUGAUCUCCUGAUGGAUUCUCCUUCUCGUUCUAUGCCGUGAUUUUUUUGCUACUGUCUUCACCCUAUUAAAGUGCUGCGGUUAAUACGGCCGCGCUGACGCGAUCAUCACUAAAGAGACGGGGACUGCUUGUUUGGUUCUUAUCGUGGCGUUAUAUUUGACCCUGGAUUGUGUGGGGGACUAUUUGGUUCCUUCCACUUGUAGGGGAGUUAGCUGCCCUUUUGUGUCUUUGUUUGAUUUGAAACCUCUUUUGUUUAUUUUCUGUUAACUAACCUCUAAUUUUUGGAAGUAUAGUUUGUUUGGUUACCUUGAUUUUUAUUUCAUCUUUAUUUAUGUAAAGCCAAUUAAACGGCGUGUAAUAUUUAAUUAAGCCAUUUAAUUGCUUGGUUCAUGUGAUCAACCAUCUAUAAGUACAAUUUUAUUUGUGUGUGAACCUCUAUUGAGCUAAAAUUGUCUUGUAUUAUUUAGGUGACCAACUAAUUGAUGUUCCUGCGCUUGAAUGGUUUUUCUUUAUUUUUUUGUCAUUUACAUUUAUUGUUGUGAGGAUUUGCUUUAUUGAUGUCCAUCUGGUUAUUCUUUUUUUUAUGAACAUUGUUAUAGUUUCUUAUCUUUAUUUUGCAGACGCUGGGGUCCCACGGGUGGAUUGCUCUUCCUCCUCCUGGUGGUGGUCGUCCUUUAUCGUGUGCAGUGUACACUGUUGAGUGUGUGAUUUAAGUGACACGGGGUGUGUGUGCGUGUAGAAGUGUUCCUGUCGUUGGGAGCCCCAGGCCUGCCGGUAUUUAUUUUCUGUUUUUUUUGCAUGGUUUCUCUUAUUGUUUAGUUUAAAAGUGGGUUUCAGUGUUCAACAUUUUAAAGUAUUUCUUUAUUAAUAAACAUUUGUAUUUUUGUAUUA